CUACGGGAGGCACCAGUGAGGAAUAUUGCACAAUGGGGGGAACCCUGAUGCAGCAACGCCGCGUGGAGGAUGACGCAUUUCGGUGUGUAAACUCCUUUUAUAUGUCAAGAAAAUGACGGUAGCAUAUGAAUAAGCACCGGCUAACUCCGUGCCAGCAGCCGCGGUAAUACGGAGGGUGCAAGCGUUACUCGGAAUCACUGGGCGUAAAGGACGCGUAGGCGGGCUUGUAAGUCAGGUGUGAAAUCCUACAGCUUAACUGUAGAACUGCACUUGAAACUACGAGCCUAGAGUAUGGGAGGGGGAGAUGGAAUUAGUGGUGUAGGGGUAAAAUCCGUAGAUAUCACUAGGAAUACCUAAAGCGAAGGCGAUCUCCUGGAACAUAACUGACGCUAAGGCGUGAAAGCGUGGGGAGCAAACAGGAUUAGAUACCCUAGUAGUC
rnacentral:rRNA from 1 species